rnacentral:rRNA from 1 species
AUUGAACGCUGGCGGCAUGCCUUACACAUGCAAGUCGAACGGCAGCACGGGGGCAACCCUGGUGGCGAGUGGCGAACGGGUGAGUAAUACAUCGGAAUGUACCCAGUAGUGGGGGAUAACUAGUCGAAAGAUUAGCUAAUACCGCAUACGCACUAUGGUGGAAAGCGGGGGAUCGCAAGACCUUGCGCUGAUGGAGCGGCCGAUAUCAGAUUAGCUAGUUGGUGAGGUAAAGGCUCACCAAGGCGACGAUCUGUAGCGGGUCUGAGAGGAUGAUCCGCCACACUGGGACUGAGACACGGCCCAGACUCCUACGGGAGGCAGCAGUGGGGAAUUUUGGACAAUGGGGGCAACCCUGAUCCAGCCAUGCCGCGUGAGUGAAGAAGG